rnacentral:rRNA from 1 species
GGGUUGUGAGGUUAAGCGACUAAGCGUACACGGUGGAUGCCCUGGCAGUCAGAGGCGAUGAAGGACGUGCUAAUCUGCGAAAAGCGUCGGUAAGGUGAUAUGAACCGUUAUAACCGGCGAUGUCCGAAUGGGGAAACCCAGUGCAAUUCGUUGCACUAUCGUUAACUGAAUACAUAGGUUAACGAGGCGAACCGGGGGAACUGAAACAUCUAAGUACCCCGAGGAAAAGAAAUCAACCGAGAUUCCCCCAGUAGCGGCGAGCGAACGGGGAGCAGCCCAGAGUCUGAAUCAGCUUGUGUGUUAGUGGAACGGUCUGGAAAGUCCGACGGUACAGGGUGAUAGUCCCGUACACCAAAAUGCACAGGUUGUGAACUCGAAGAGUAGGGCGGGACACGUGGUAUCCUGUCUGAAUAUGGGGGGACCAUCCUCCAAGGCUAAAUACUCCUGACUGACCGAUAGUGAACCAGUACCGUGAGGGAAAGGCGAAAAGAACCCCGGCGAGGGGAGUGAAAAAGAACCUGAAACCGUGUACGUACAAGCAGUGGGAGCACCUUCGGGUGUGACUGCGUACCUUUUGUAUAAUGGGUCAGCGACUUAUAUUCUGUAGCAAGGUUAACCGUAUAGGGGAGCCGCAGGGAAACCGAGUCUUAACUGGGCGUUAAGUUGCAGGGUAUAGACCCGAAACCCGGUGAUCUAGCCAUGGGCAGGUUGAAGGUUGGGUAACACUAACUGGAGGACCGAACCGACUAAUGUUGAAAAAUUAGCGGAUGACUUGUGGCUGGGGGUGAAAGGCCAAUCAAACCGGGAGAUAGCUGGUUCUCCCCGAAAGCUAUUUAGGUAGCGCCUCGUGAACUCAUCUUCGGGGGUAGAGCACUGUUUCGGCUAGGGGGUCAUCCCGACUUACCAACCCGAUGCAAACUACGAAUACCGAAGAAUGUUAUCACGGGAGACACACGGCGGGUGCUAACGUCCGUCGUGAAGAGGGAAACAACCCAGACCGCCAGCUAAGGUCCCAAAGUCAUGGUUAAGUGGGAAACGAUGUGGGAAGGCACAGACAGCCAGGAUGUUGGCUUAGAAGCAGCCAUCAUUUAAAGAAAGCGUAAUAGCUCACUGGUCGAGUCGGCCUGCGCGGAAGAUGUAACGGGGCUAAACCAUGCACCGAAGCUGCGGCAGCGACACUAUGUGUUGUUGGGUAGGGGAGCGUUCUGUAAGCCUGCGAAGGUGUGCUGUGAGGCAUGCUGGAGGUAUCAGAAGUGCGAAUGCUGACAUAAGUAACGAUAAAGCGGGUGAAAAGCCCGCUCGCCGGAAGACCAAGGGUUCCUGUCCAACGUUAAUCGGGGCAGGGUGAGUCGACCCCUAAGGCGAGGCCGAAAGGCGUAGUCGAUGGGAAACAGGUUAAUAUUCCUGUACUUGGUGUUACUGCGAAGGGGGGACGGAGAAGGCUAUGUUAGCCGGGCGACGGUUGUCCCGGUUUAAGCAUGUAGGCUGGUUAUCCAGGCAAAUCCGGAUAAUCAAGGCUGAGGUGUGAUGACGAGGCACUACGGUGCUGAAGUAACAAAUGCCCUGCUUCCAGGAAAAGCCUCUAAGCAUCAGGUAACAUCAAAUCGUACCCCAAACCGACACAGGUGGUCAGGUAGAGAAUACCAAGGCGCUUGAGAGAACUCGGGUGAAGGAACUAGGCAAAAUGGUGCCGUAACUUCGGGAGAAGGCACGCUGGUGUGUAGGUGAAGUCCCUGCGGAUGGAGCUGAGACCAGUCGAAGAUACCAGCUGGCUGCAACUGUUUAUUAAAAACACAGCACUGUGCAAACACGAAAGUGGACGUAUACGGUGUGACGCCUGCCCGGUGCCGGAAGGUUAAUUGAUGGGGUUAUCCGUAAGGAGAAGCUCUUGAUCGAAGCCCCGGUAAACGGCGGCCGUAACUAUAACGGUCCUAAGGUAGCGAAAUUCCUUGUCGGGUAAGUUCCGACCUGCACGAAUGGCGUAAUGAUGGCCAGGCUGUCUCCACCCGAGACUCAGUGAAAUUGAACUCGCUGUGAAGAUGCAGUGUACCCGCGGCAAGACGGAAAGACCCCGUGAACCUUUACUAUAGCUUGACACUGAACAUUGAGCCUUGAUGUGUAGGAUAGGUGGGAGGCUUUGAAGCGUGGACGCCAGUCUGCGUGGAGCCAACCUUGAAAUACCACCCUUUAAUGUUUGAUGUUCUAACGUUGGCCCCUGACCGGGGUUGCGGACAGUGUCUGGUGGGUAGUUUGACUGGGGCGGUCUCCUCCCAAAGCGUAACGGAGGAGCACGAAGGUUAGCUAAUCCUGGUCGGACAUCAGGAGGUUAGUGCAAUGGCAUAAGCUAGCUUGACUGCGAGCGUGACGGCGCGAGCAGGUGCGAAAGCAGGUCAUAGUGAUCCGGUGGUUCUGAAUGGAAGGGCCAUCGCUCAACGGAUAAAAGGUACUCCGGGGAUAACAGGCUGAUACCGCCCAAGAGUUCAUAUCGACGGCGGUGUUUGGCACCUCGAUGUCGGCUCAUCACAUCCUGGGGCUGAAGUAGGUCCCAAGGGUAUGGCUGUUCGCCAUUUAAAGUGGUACGCGAGCUGGGUUUAGAACGUCGUGAGACAGUUCGGUCCCUAUCUGCCGUGGGCGCUGGAGAAUUGAGGGGGGCUGCUCCUAGUACGAGAGGACCGGAGUGGACGCAUCACUGGUGUUCGGGUUGUCAUGCCAAUGGCACUGCCCGGUAGCUAAAUGCGGAAGAGAUAAGUGCUGAAAGCAUCUAAGCACGAAACUUGCCCCGAGAUGAGUUCUCCCUGAGACUAUAAGUCUCCUGAAGGAACGUUGAAGACGAUGACGUUGAUAGGCCGGGUGUGUAAGCGCAGCGAUGCGUUGAGCUAACCGGUACUAAUGAACCGUGAGGCUUAACCUUACAACGCCGAAG